rnacentral:lncRNA from 1 species
GGUGCUCUGAAUCACAGCCUCUCCAGGCCCCACAGGACCAGUACCCCAGAGCCCAGCUGAGCACGUGCCCCAGGGAUGGCUUCCAGUUGAAUUUCAUUAUCAACUGAUUAUAGACAAUGAAGACUCAGGUCUCUCUCUGGCAUAGAUUGAAUAGCUCCAUAUAAUUCUAGCUGACUAUAAGAAGAGAAGUGGUGGUGAUGAGGGACGGGUGGAGUAAAGAACAGAGAAGGGGAACUUGAGGGGAGAUAGAGACUCCCAGAAGCAGGCUCAGGGCUGAUCUUAGACGCUAUAACAUAGUAAAGUAGAAAGAGUAGUGAAUCGGGAACAUCAAGUCUUGACUUUGCCACUGACUCAUUAUGUGACCUAUUUCUCUGUCAAGUUUCUGUCUCUGUUUCUGUCUCUGUCUCUGUCUCUCUCUCUCUCUUUCUCUGUUUCUCUCCUCUCCCUCUCUUUUUCUUUCUCUGUCUGUCUCCCUCUCUCUUUGCCUGGUUUCUCUCCUCUCUCUCUCUUUCUCUCUAUCUCUGUUACUCUCCUCUCCCUCUCUGUCUCCCUCUCUUUCUUUCUGUCUGUCUCCUCUCCCUCCCUCUCCUCUUCCUCUGUCUGUCUCUCUCUCUAUCUCUGAUAUUCUCCUCUCCCUCUCUCCCUCUCUGUCUCCCUCUUUCUCUGUCUCUUUCUCCUCUCCCUCCCUCUCUUCUUCCUCUGUCUCCCUCUUUUUCUGUCUGUCUCCUUUCUCUCCAUCUGUUUCUCUCCUCUCCCUCUCUCCCUGUCUCUCUCUGUCUGUCUCUCUUUCUAUCUCUGUUACUCUCCUCUCCCUCUCUUUCUCUCUGUCUCUGUCUCUUUCUCUUUCUCUCUCCUCUCCCUACCUCUCCUCUUCCUUUGUCUCUGUGUCUCCUUUCUCUCCUCUCCCUCUGGGUCUUUUUGUUUCUCUUUGUUCUCUCUCUCUGUUUCUCUCUGUGUCUCUCUCUGGCCCUCCCUCCCUGUUUCUCUCUUUCUCAGUUUCCUCAUCCUUAAAAUGCAUGGGAUUGGU